rnacentral:snoRNA from 12 species
AAGGGAACCAGCCAUGUGAACAGAGGAGAACACCCCUGUCCACACAUUGCAUUGUUCCUACAUAGACAUGGAGGUCUCUGUCUGACUUGGGCCAGCCACUAAGUCAGAUCGUUCACUCCAGACAGU